rnacentral:rRNA from 1 species
UACGAAGGGGGCUAGCGUUGUUCGGAUUUAUUGGGCGUAAAGGGCGCGUAGGCGGCUCGGCACGUCCGUUGUGAAAUCGCCCGGCUCAACUGGGCGGGGUCGGCGGAUACGGCCGAGCUGGAGCAAGCUAGGGGGUAAUGGAAUUCUCGGUGUAGCGGUGAAAUGCGUAGAUAUCGAGAGGAACACCUGCGGCGAAGGCGGGUAGCUGGGCCGACACUGACGCUGAGGCGCGAAAGCCAGGGGAGCGAACGGG